UCUACCUUCAACAAGAUGAAAUUCUUCCUGUUCUUUUUCUUCUAUCUGGUGGCCAUCUUCAGCCGUACUUUAGCCAGCAUACAACUCGUAUCUUCUGCCCCAGCCACAGUGAGACCUGGAGAAAGCCUCAGACUGGUUUGUAAAGUGACAGGAGUCUCUCUGACUGAUUCAUCUUAUAUUUGGAACUGGAUCCGACAGCCUGCUGGGAAAGGCCUGGAAUGGGUUGCAAGAAUAUACCUCUAUGAUGGGAGAACCUGGUUUGCCUCUUCCCUUCGAAGCCGUACAACUAUCUCUUCAGAGACUUCCAAAAGUGAAUUCUAUCUCCAGCUGAACUCCGUUGUAGCUGCUGACUCAGCUGUGUAUUUCUGUGCCCGAGAUGCACAGUGAAGUAAGGUUAACAGAAGCUCUGUACA